AAAAAAGACAGGGAAUGGCCGAGGCGAAGACAGAGAAGCGUGUUGUGAGCGGUAAAGAAAAGAGAGUGUGGAGUGAAUGGUUUGUCACCGGGGUCGUGGAGGUGUCCAACCAGGACGCUUCACAGGACUUUGUUGUGACUUCCCUGUCUGUUUUGAGUGGAUUAUUCAAUUCGAGAAAAGACGAAGGAGUGAAGCUAGCAGCUAGCCCGGCAGCUAGUAGUUUCCGCGGACUUUGCUAAGCUAGCGGCCAGCUACCUCGACGGCAAAGACUGAGGGAAAAGCGAGUGUGGAGCGGCAGGUGACGGAGCCGUGUCCUCCGGGCUUAUUCUCUUCACAGUUUGCUUAUUGAUUUUAAUAUUCUUAUUUCAUCAAGUAGGCCACCAGAAAUAUCUCCGCAACAAGGACACGGUCUGACACCAGGAUGGCAUGCAUACUUGGAACCAUGCACCCACUGGAGGAGAUGGGACCAGGUCAAAGUAGCAAUCACCCACCCCGGAAGGAGGAUAGUCUCAGGGGUGUCACUGGCAUCGAUGGGAAAACUGGCGUGGGAGGGCGUCAGGCUUAAUGUUCUGUGACCCUGGACGGUAUGUGAGGAUGAAGUCAAAAUGGCUGCCAUAGAUAUAAACCAGGAGGCUGAGGUGCUUAGCAUCGUACGCUGACACAAGCGUUUACCCUAAGUUCUUCCUCUAAAUAUCUAAGGGUCGACGGCUGUCCUGGUGUAUGAUGCUAAAUGCAACACCUGUCAACACCACGGUCAACUGUCUGACAGUGUUACUUUCUGCCUCAUAAGCUAAGCGCCUCGGCUCCUGCUUACUGUUGCUGCACCAUUUCAAAUCAAACUACUUGGAUGGCUGUGAAAAGCAAGGCAUGUGCACUCAAUCCGUGCACUCUCCGAUCAAUAGGCAAGAAGUUCAGCCAGUGUGGACAGCCCCCUCAUCUGCAUAACAUUUCAUUGUGCAUGCUGUAUGUGCAUCAAUAAACAAAUAAAUGGAUAAAUAAAUAAAUACCAUUUAUGUCAUA